UACGAGGGGGGCGAGCGUUGUUCGGAAUUAUUGGGCGUAAAGGGUGCGUAGGCGGUUUGGUAAGUCUUGUGUGAAAUCUCCAGGCUCAACUUGGAGUCUGCACGAGAAACUGCCGGGCUUGAGUGUGGGAGAGGUGAGUGGAAUUCCUGGUGUAGCGGUGAAAUGCGUAGAUAUCAGGAGGAACACCUGUGGCGAAAGCGGCUCACUGGACCACAACUGACGCUGAGGCGCGAAAGCUAGGGGAGCAAACAGG
rnacentral:rRNA from 1 species